rnacentral:lncRNA from 1 species
UCCCCACUCAGACCUCAGAUCCCUGGCGGGAGUUUCCUGUCCCCAUCACUGCACUUUCCAUGACACAAGAGGAAGUCAGCUGAGCCCAGGCUGGGUUUUCCAGGCAGCGAGGCCCAGUAGAGGCUGAAGGUGGGGGAAGGGGUUGCUGAGCCCCCAGGGCCGGGUGUCAGAACCUCCUCAACCUCUACCGGAGAGGUGCCUGCCGGUGCUGCCGUGGGCCACACCAGCCCCAAACUGGAAACCACCCUGAUGUCCACUAAUGGAGAAAGAGAUGAAUGGCGAUAUAUGUACAUCUACAUGUGUAUCCGCAUUUCUCUGCAAUACAAAAGGAGCAAACCACUGCUAACACAGUGUGGACUCCCAGACCAUGACUGUGAGGGAAGAAGGCGGAAACGAGUGUGCAGCGUGCAAUUUCAUUUUUAUCGUAUUCUGGAAAUGACAACGUUCUGAGCCACUACUGCUGGGUGUCUGCUCCUGGGGUACCUGCUGGCCCUGAAUCACCCCUCUGGAUUCCUGGGACUCCAGGAACUUUGGGAUCCAGAGAAGCGAGCUCUUCCAUCCCAGGACCCAUGACUGCCCACGCUGUUGAGCUUCUGAGGGCAGGGACCAUGUUUUCUCUCUCAGAGCCAGGGCUGCAUGUUGGAACUGGCCCUGACAGUGUCAGUUAAACUUUCACGAAACAAAUGUUCCUGAACUUGAAGCCAUAGGACAGGACUCUGAAGAUCACAGAAUCACACAGUGAGAAAAUGAUGCCCUUUUCAGCUCUGCACCAGUCCUUCUCAUGACAGAAAGGAGAGUGUCUCGGGUUGGUUCGAGGAUGUCUUUAACCCCUCUCAUCGUUGCCCGUCUCGACACAGAACCAAGAACAGGCGGGUCCUAGACUCAGACUCUAGUGGACGAAUGUGUCCAGCAAAAGUAACAGCAUUACUUUAUUUUACAAUUAUCUUCAACGUAUACCAAGUGAUACUGGUUUUCCAUUUAUAAUGGCAAUGUAGCUUCCCUUGAGUUUGUUUUAAAUUUUAAUUCAAUUUCAGACAUACGGAAAAGUUGCGAGCAUAGUAGAGUUCCUGGAUGCCUUUCACCCAGAUUCCCUUAGUGUUAAUAUUUUCUCCCAAUCUCUCUCUCUGUGUCUCCCCCUACCUUCCCCACCAAACUACCUACCUACCUACCUACCUACACACACACACACACACACACACACACACACACACACUUUUUUUCUGAAUUAUUUAAAAGCAUGCUGUUCUUUCACUGCCAGUCCUGGUAAUGUCCUUUAUGGCAAAAGAAAACCCCAGGCCAUGCCUUGCGUUCAGUUGGGAUCCCUCUUUUUUUUUCCUUUUUUUGCCAUAGAGUUUCAUUCUUGUCACCCAGGCUGGAGUGCAAUGGCGUGGUCUCGGCUCACUGCAACCUCUGCCUCCCGGGUUCAAGCGAUUCUCCUGUCUCAGCCUCCCGAAGUGCUGGGAUUACAGGCACCCACCACCACGCCCGGCUAAUUUUUUGUAUUUUUAGUAGAGAUGGGGUUUCACCAUGUUGGCCAGGCUGGUCUUGAACUCCUGACCUCAGGUGAUCCGCCUGCCUCGGCCUCCCAAAGUGCUGGGAUUACAGGUGUGAGCCACCGCACCAGGCCUCUUUUACCUCUAAAUGUGUCAGUACUCCAGUGUGUAUUUCCUAAAAGCAAGACUAUUUUAUUACAUAAGUAUAGUACACUUUUCAAAAUCAGGGAACUAACACUGAUAUAACCCUGUAGUCACUAGACCUCCUUCCUGUUUCACUGCCUGUCCUUGUAAUGUCCUUUAUGGCAAAAGAAAACGUCAGGUCAUGCCUUGCCUUCACUCGGGAUGCCUCUUUGACUCUUUUCAUCUGAAACAGUUUUUGAGUCUUUGUAUUCUAUGACAUUGGCAUUUUUGAAAAGUACCUGCCAGAUAUUUUUUAAGAUGUCUAAAAAUUCCUUUUUAAAUAAAUUUAAGUUUUAAAUAAGUGAGUCCACUUAAAGAAAAACUAUCAAGUGACCCAAAGAACAAAUGGUCUACAGAUAAAGCAAAAACUGUGAAGAUGUACAUGGAUUACAGUUUUGACAAAUGUUGCCUUAAAUCAACUUCCUUCUGCCCCUGGGGCUUCAUCCCACUGGGAUGGUCAGGCCUUGGGUCAGUGAGUUAAGAACAGUCAAUAAAGUGGUGACACAAGGCUGUGCCAGCCUGUGUGCAGGGAGCUCACUCUCGGGGGCAGAGUCAGGGUUCUGGGCUCUCUGCCAGAUACUAGUGAGGGGCUGGGAGGAAAGUGUGCUUUUGGGUGCGUGCAAGGUGCAUACAAAUCUCAAACAUGUCUCAGUGAAAGAACAGGCAGGCCGGGCACAGUGACUCAUGCCUGUAAUCCCAGCACUAUGGGAGGCUGAGGUGGGAGGAUCGCUUGUGCCUAGGCAUUUGAGAGUAACAUGGUGAGACCUCGUGUCAAAAGAAAGAAAGAGAGAGAGAGGAGAGGAGGGAAGGAAGGAAGGAGAAAGAGAAAAAGAAAGAGAGAGAGAAAGAGAGCGAGAUAAAGGAAGAAAAGAAAGAAUGGAAAGAAAGAAUUAGCUAGGAGUGGUGGCGUGUGCCUGUAGUCCCAGGUACUUGGGAGGCUGGGGUAGGAGGAUUGAUUGAGCUUGGGAGGUCAAGGCUGCAGUGAGCUAUGAUCAUAUCACUGCACUCCAGUCUGGGCAACAGGGCAAGACCCUGGCUCAGAAAAAAAAAAAGAAAAAGAAAGAAAGAACAAGCCAUAAAAUCAGGAAAGGAGAAGAGAGCUUGACAAAGCAGUAGGAAGACUUGAGUAUGGGCAGAAGAGGUGAGUUUCCUGGAACAGGAAGGGAGGGAGGGGAUCUUGGG